rnacentral:rRNA from 1 species
AUUGAACGCUGGCGGCAGGCUUAACACAUGCAAGUCGAGCGGAUGAAGGGAGCUUGCUCCUGGAUUCAGCGGCGGACGGGUGAGUAAUGCCUAGGAAUCUGCCUGGUAGUGGGGGAUAACGUCCGGAAACGGGCGCUAAUACCGCAUACGUCCUGCGGGAGCAAGUGGGGGAUCUUCGGACCUCACGCUAUCAGAUGAGCCUAGGUCGGAUUAACUAGUUGGUGGGGUAAAGGCCUACCAAGGCGACGAUCCGCAACUGGUCUGAGAGGAUGAUCAGUCACACUGGAACUGAGACACGGUCCAGACUCCUACGGGAGGCAGCAGAGGGGAACAGUGGGCAGUAGGCGAAAGCCUGAUCCAGCCGUGCGGAGUGUGUGAAGAAGGUCUUCGGAUUGUAAAGCACUUUAAGGUGGGAGGAAGGGCAGUAAGUUAAUACGUUGCUGUUGUGACGGUAACAACAGAAUAAGCACCGGCUAACUUCGUG